AAAAAAUGGAUGCCGGAUACCGUUAACAAUCACAAAAGAAGAAGAAGAAAAACCUGAAGAAGACGAGACGAACAUGGCGCGGUUUUUCUGUAGCACAGAUCCUGUUCCUCCACCGGAUGAGUGAUAACAAGACAUCCACGGCUCUGGAAUUCUUCCUUGAAGCUGCAAAGAAACAUGGCUUUCCAUCCAGAGUGAGAGUGGACCAAGGAGCUGAGAAUGUGAGCAUUUGAGACCGGCAUAGAAAGCUUCCCACCGAAAGGAUUGUUAAACCUUGAGGAAUAGAGACUGCUCGAUCCAACAGAGUCCACUCGCCCCUUCUGUGCCCAAGUAUGGGUUAUUUUGCCUCGAGUCCAAGCUGAGGGAACCAACCCUUCAAUCGGAACAGAAUGCAACUCCACCCCAAACCAGCUGUGGGAAGACUGUCCUGCCAGUCCUCCUGAGAUACUGAGGGGGACCAGUUUCCUGAUGUUGACAUGGAUCAUGCUGGAGUACAGUUUCUAGAACUGGUCUCUCCUCUGGACAGUGAAGAAUUGGAAGCCCUGACAUGUGGCCCCUUGCAUCUAAAUGUUCAACAACUGGAGAACAGAACCAGCCCUGUUUUAGUGUACUGCUGAAGUCCACACCACUCUAGUAACCAGAGAUGUUCACCGCCCAGUGGGCAAGUUGACCAAAGGUGAAGCUGUCAAGACAGAGUACUUCACAUGGAGAAGUCUUAACUGUGGACGUGUCCAGGUAUUCUCAAUGCA